GAGAUGGUAGCUCAGUGGUAGAGUGCACGCUUUGUAUGUGUGAUGUCCUGAGUUCAAUCCCCGGCUUCUCU
rnacentral:tRNA from 1 species